rnacentral:tRNA from 1 species
GGUAGCUCAGUGGUAGAGAGCUUGCCUAGCACAUGUGAGGUACUGGGUUCGAUCCUCAGUACCA